CCUCUUUCUACUGCUAAUACCUCUUCCUAUACAACCAAGCAUUCUGCUAGCAUUUCCUGCUGCUCUAUUACAUUGUCUGCCUACCUUUAAGUCAUCAGAAAUAAUCACCCCUAAAUCCCUUUCCUCAUAUGUUGAGGUUAGGACUCUAUCAAAUAUUGUGUACUCUGCCCUUGGGUUUUUACGUCCAAGAUGCAUUAUCUUGCACUUAUCCACAUUAAAUGUCAGUUGCCACAAUUCUGACCAUUUUUCUAGUUUACCUAAAUCAUUUGUCAUUUGGCUUAUCCCUCCUGGAACAUCAACCCUGUUACAUAUCUUAGUAUCAUCAGCAAAAAGACAUACCUUACCAUCAAGACCUU